rnacentral:rRNA from 1 species
CUUGGUCAUUUAGAGGAAGUAAAAGUCGUAACAAGGUCUCCGUUGGUGAACCAGCGGAGGGAUCAUUACCGAGUUUACAACUCCCAAACCCCUGUGAACAUACCACUUGUUGCCUCGGCGGAUCAGCCCGCUCCCGGUAAAACGGGACGGCCCGCCAGAGGACCCCUAAACUCUGUUUCUAUAUGUAACUUCUGAGUAAAACCAUAAAUAAAUCAAAACUUUCAACAACGGAUCUCUUGGUUCUGGCAUCGAUGAAGAACGCAGCAAAAUGCGAUAAGUAAUGUGAAUUGCAGAAUUCAGUGAAUCAUCGAAUCUUUGAACGCACAUUGCGCCCGCCAGUAUUCUGGCGGGCAUGCCUGUUCGAGCGUCAUUUCAACCCUCAAGCACAGCUUGGUGUUGGGACUCGCGUUAAUUCGCGUUCCUCAAAUUGAUUGGCGGUCACGUCGAGCUUCCAUAGCGUAGUAGUAAAACCCUCGUUACUGGUAAUCGUCGCGGCCACGCCGUUAAACCCCAACUUCUGAAUGUUGACCUCGGAUCAGGUAGGAAUACCCGCUGAACCUAAGCAUAUCAAUAAGCGGAGGA